rnacentral:rRNA from 1 species
UGCAAGUCGCACGAGAAAGGGCUUCGGCCCCGGUACAGUGGCGCACGGGUGAGUAACACGUAGAUAAUCUCCCCUCGAGUGGUGGAUAACUUUCCGAAAGGAAAGCUAAUACAGCAUAAGACCACGGCUUCGUUGAAGCUGCGGCCAAAGCAGGCCUCUACACGUAAGCUUGCGCUUGAGGAUGAGUCUGCGGCCCAUCAGCUAGUUGGUAGGGUAAUGGCCUACCAAGGCUAAGACGGGUAGCUGGUCUGAGAGGAUGAACAGCCACACUGGAACUGAGACACGGUCCAGACUCCUACGGGAGGCAGCAGUGGGGAAUCUUGCGCAAUGGGCGAAAGCCUGACGCAGCGACGCCGCGUGAGCGAUGAAGGCCUUCGGGUUGUAAAGCUCUGUGGGGAGGAAAGAAUAAGGCUUGGCUAAUAUCCAAGCUGAUGACGGUACCUCCUUAGCAAGCACCGGCUAACUCUGUGCCAGCAGCCGCGGUAAGACAGAGGGUGCAAACGUUGUUCGGAAUUACUGGGCGUAAAGCGCGUGUAGGCGGCCCUGCAAGUCGGGUGUGAAAUCCCACGGCUCAACCGUGGAAGUGCACUCGAAACUGCAGGGCUAGAGUCCUGGAGAGGAAGGUGGAAUGCUUGGUGUAGAGGUGAAAUUCGUAGAUAUCAAGCGGAACACCGGUGGCGAAGGCGGCCUUCUGGACAGUGACUGACGCUGAGACGCGAAAGCGUGGGGAGCAAACAGGAUUAGAUACCCUGGUAGUCCACGCCGUAAACGAUGAGUGCUAGGUGUCACGGGCUUUGACCCUCGUGGUGCCGAAGCUAACGCGUUAAGCACUCCGCCUGGGGAGUACGGUCGCAAGACUAAAACUCAAAGGAAUUGAC